UAUGGUACACUUCCAGCAGCAGAAGAGACUAUGAAGAGAAAAGCACUAGAGGGAGCUGCUGAUCCAUUUAAAAAAGAGCUUCUUCGGUAGUUUUCAGCUUGAAUGACCACACAGUGAACUGAAUACUGAUGAAAUCCCUAGCACUGAAAUAAUGGGCCAAUGCGCUAAAACAAGGAAUGCAGUCAUCAAAUCAUGUGCCUUCAACUGGCCAUCAGGAGUGAACAGGAGGAAUGCACAGGCUCACAAGAGG